rnacentral:rRNA from 1 species
AUUGAACGCUAGCGGGAUGCUUUACACAUGCAAGUCGAACGAGUGGCGGACGGGUGAGUAAUAUAUCGGAACGUGCCCAGUAGCGGGGGAUACCUACUCGAAAAAGUGGCUAUUACCGCAUCCUAUUGGGCCGCCCAUUAGCGGAUUAGCUAGUGGGGGGGGUAAAGGCUCACAAGGGCAACGAUCCGUAGCUGGUUUGAGAGGACGACCAGCCACACUGGGACUGAGACACGGCCCAGACUCCUACGGGAGGCAGCAGUGGGGAAUUUUGGACAAUGGGGGAAACCCUGAUCCAGCCAUCCCGCGUGUAUGAGAAGGCCUUCGGGUUGUAAAGUACUUUUGGCAGAGAAGCGGUAUCUGCAGAAUAAGCACCGGCUAACUACGUGCCAGCAGCCGCGGUAAUAC